UUCUAGAAAACUCAAAAUAAUUUUUGAAAUAAUGAAGAAAUAAUCUACAAAAUGACAAGUGUCUUCUAAUUAGUAAUUUUUUUUUUCUAGAUAAUAGUGUAAUCUACUUAACACUCUAUUAUACUAGUUUAAGUUUGAGGACUUUUCUUAGCGUCUUCUAAUUUUUUUUUUUUCUGCAGGAAAAAAUAAAUAAAUAAUAAAAUAAAAUAAAAUACACGUAUGAGUUCAAGGGCGAAGUAACAAUGCGUAGAGAGAUCAUAACAAAAAUUGUUUACCAACUCUGACUUCUAGGGCUAUAACUAGAAGUGGGUCACAAUUUUUCUCUAAAGUGGGCUUUAUGAAUGUUUGCAGGCCCGGCCCAAUCAGAAAAUGUGAUUUAAAUUGUUUACCAACUAUUAUGACUUUCCAGGGCUGCAUCGACAGCUGCGUUCUUUGUUGUUCCAGUUGGCUAUUCUACAGGAGCUGUUUUUGCUGGGUUUGCCUUUUGCAGUUUUUUUACUCAUUACUUCCAACGGGGAGUGGGGCAGAAGUGAUGAUAAAAUGUGCUUCCUAUGCAGGAAACAAAAAAUUUAUAAUGAAUCUAGAAAGGAACCCCAUUGCAGAUUACAUCAAAGCCAAAUGCAUUUGAUUUGGCCAUGAUUGAUGAAGCUGGAUGACCCCACGUACCUCUCAAUGAUUUGAGGGUGUGUUUGGCACACCACGUUACAUAGAUUGCAUUAACUAACGUAAUAUAAUAUCAUAUUUUUAAAAAAAAAAUUUCUUGUUAACAGUUUUGCAUUGGGUUUGCUUAAUAUGAUCACAUUAGUUUUUUUUUUUUUUUAAUUUCUAUAAUCAAAAUAAUAAUAGAUAAAUAAAAAUAUAUAACACUAAAUAAUCUUAAAGUAUUAAUUUAAUAUAAAUAUUAAAAAAAUAAUAUUAUUUUAUAUAUACAACUUAAUGCAAUCGAAUACAGUGUCCUAGAGUGGACAAGCUGUCUCAAGUCUCAGUCGCUUUCACUAGACAUGUGUUUAACGUGUUGUUUCACGAGUUCAACAACCGUCGCAGAGGCUUACUUCGAGCAUCAUGUUAGAAUAAGUGUAUCCGGGUCCAUAUGAUGUUUCUACUUUCCACGAAUACAUACUUUUGUUUAUACAACAUACAUGUCUCAUCUGGUUGUUUGAUUGUUCCUCCUCCAAAAACAAUAAAAAUUACAAAGCAAAAAAAAAAAAAAAAAAAAAAAAAAAAUUUGAUUGUUUUAUUUGUCUUGCUAUCCAUCUUAUUUGUCUCUGCUCUUUUCUUUAAUAGUUAUUAGAACAAUACUUCUCUUUAUUUUAAUUACCAAAAAAAAAAAAGAUUUUUCAGAACAAGAUAGCUAGGGGAGAGAGAAAAUAGAAAAGAGUAUUUAUGUUACUUAAAAUGUAACUAGUUUUGCAUUAUUUUAUACGGAUUGUAAGUUACUUGAAAUGUAACUUAACAAAACCUAAA
rnacentral:lncRNA from 1 species